AUGCCCCACCGUAAACACUAACUUACACCACCAACGCCCGGGUACUACGAGCCUAGCUUAAAACCCAAAGGACUUGACGGUGUCCUAUCCAACUAGAGGAGCCUGUUCUAUAAUCGAUAGUCCUCGAUUUACCCAACCCCAUUUUGCUACUCAGCCUGUAUACCUCCGUCGCAAGCUUACCAUGUGAAUGCUUACAGUAAGUAAAAAGAUUUUAACAUCAACACGUCAGGUCAAGGUGCAGCUAAUAAUGAGGAAAGUAAUGGGCUACAAUUUCUAAUAUAGAACACACGAAUUACUGCAUGAAACACAGUCAUGAAGGCGGAUUUAGUAGUAAAAAGAAAAUAAUGUGUUCUUUUUAAUAAGGUCCUAGGACGUGUACACACCGCCCGUCACCCUCCUCAAUAGUCUUAAAAAGUUUAUAACUACUUUUACACCACAGAAGAGGCAAGUCGUAACAUGGUAAGUACACCGGAAGGUGCACUUGGAUUA
rnacentral:rRNA from 1 species